AAGGGAGACCUAAUUCAGGUAGGAGACGAAAAAAAAGUAGUCCCAACCAAGAAUCAAUCCCAAAAGGUCGGAGCGAGGCGAAAUUGGCUUUCAAACUAGGUUCUGGGUUCACACAAGACCUGAAUCAGGAACAAGGGCUAUUAGCUCAGGUGGUUAGAGCGCACCCCUGAUAAGGGUGAGGUCCCUGGUUCGAGUCCAGGAUGGCCCACCUGCACAGGUGGCAAAAACAGGAGAAGCGAGGAAUCAGCACCUUAUCUUAUCUAUAUAUAUAUAGGAGAGAAUGCUGGCUCUGAGUAAAGAGUCCAGAGGAACCUUGAAAACUGCAUAGAGCUAGGUGAAAAAGCCAAAAAAGAAGACCGCAA
rnacentral:tRNA from 1 species